rnacentral:rRNA from 1 species
GAUGAACGCUGGCGGCGUGCUUAACACAUGCAAGUCGAACGGAAAGGCCCAAGCUUGCUUGGGUACUCGAGUGGCGAACGGGUGAGUAACACGUGGGUGAUCUGCCCUGCACUUCGGGAUAAGCCUGGGAAACUGGGUCUAAUACCGGAUAGGACCACAUUUUGGAUGGUGUGGUGGAAAGUUUUUCGGUGUGGGAUGAGCUCGCGGCCUAUCAGCUUGUUGGUGGGGUAAUGGCCUACCAAGGCGUCGACGGGUAGCCGGCCUGAGAGGGUGUACGGCCACAUUGGGACUGAGAUACGGCCCAGACUCCUACGGGAGGCAGCAGUGGGGAAUAUUGCACAAUGGGCACAAGCCUGAUGCAGCGACGCCGCGUGGGGGAUGACGGCCUUCGGGUUGUAAACUCCUUUCGCUAGGGACGAAGCGCAAGUGACGGUACCUGGAGAAGAAGCACCGGCUAACUACGUG